rnacentral:autocatalytically_spliced_intron from 2 species
ACGCUUUGAUUUAUCAAAGUGUUUCGGGAACUUGGGGAACUGAAAUAUCUAAGUACCCAAAGGAAAAGAAAUCGAAUGAGAACCCCUUAGUAAGCGACGAGCGAACAGGGGCGAGUCUAAACCACGAAUUUAUUCGUGGGGUUGCAGGGCCAGACACAACUUAGUUUUUUCGAUAGAAGAACAAUUUGGAAUAGUUGACCAUAGGGGGUGA